UUCAACCUCACAUGGUGCAAGUUUCAUCGUGGUUGGUAUAUGGCAAUUACAUCUGUUGUGGCGCCCGUUGGUUGGUACCGGCCACUAGUUAGGAGUAAGGAGGCAGUAGUCUCGAAUUCUGGCCGGCAACGUGAGAACCAUAGAUGCUGUGGGGCAAUCACACACACAGAGGCACGGCUUGCUUGCGGGAUCAAGUGCUGAUGUGGAGAGAGCAACACUGUUCCAUUGGAUCGCACGACCCAAAUUUACUCAUAAAACAGUAGGCUCUUUGUUCAUGAUUCAAAACGAGAAGCAUGUGAUUCGUUUUUCUAAUAGAAUGUCAAUAAGAUUCCAAAAAACAAUGUUUUGCUAGCUCUAUCAUCAUGAUGUUUG
rnacentral:lncRNA from 1 species